rnacentral:piRNA from 1 species
UAGUCUUUGGGGUUUUCUACAUAAAUUG